GAUCAUGGCUCAGGAUGAACGCUGGCGGUAUGCCUAACACAUGCAAGUCGUACGAGAGUUUUUAACUCUAGUGGCGGACGGGUGAGUAACACGUGAGAAUUUGCCUUUAGGAGGGGGAUAACAAUUGGAAACGAAUGCUAAUACCCCAUAUGCUUUUGAGUGAAACGGAUUUAUCCGCCUAGAGAGAAGCUCGCGGCUGAUUAGCUUGUUGGUAAGGUAAGAGCUUACCAAGGCGACGAUCAGUAUCUGGUUUGAGAGGACGAUCAGACACACUGGAACUGAGACACGGUCCAGACUCCUACGGGAGGCAGCAGUGGGGAAUUUUCCGCAAUGGGCGAAAGCCUGACGGAGCAAUACCGCGUGAGGGAAGACUGCCUAUGGGUUGUAAACCUCUUUUUCAGGGAGGAAUAAAUGACGUGUACCUGAAGAAUAAGCAUCGGCUAACUCCGUG
rnacentral:rRNA from 1 species